AGACACCUACCUAAUUAUUUCUUUAGCAAAAGAAUAUCAUGCAAACUAAAGCAAAUUUGAUAAUAGAAGUCAGUUGGAAACUUUUUUUUUUUAAAUUGUAUGCUCUGUCUGAAUCCCAAAAUAUUUUUUUGGGGUUUCAUAUCCCUUUUAGCUCUCCCUGUAUUCUGUGAUGCAACCAGCUUGUUUCCUGAUAGCACUUACCUGUGUCCUGCUGCAAUUACCUGGUAUCCCGUGCCAGCCUCACCAGCUGUACCUGCUGAAUCUCCUGUACCUGCUGAGUCUCCUGUGCCUGCUGAGUCUCCUGUACUUGCUUUACUAGUGGCAGCUUACCUGAACCCUGCUGUAUCACCUGCAUCUACCUGAUAUCCAGUACCAGUCUCACCACCUGUGCCUGCUGAGUCUCCUGUACUUGCUUUACUAGUGGCAGCUUACCUGAACCCUGCUGUAUCACCUGCAUCUACCUGAUAUCCAGUACCAGUCUCACCACCUGUGCCUGCUGAGUCUCCUAUACUUGCUUUACUAGUGGCAGCUUACCGGUAUCCAGUACCAGUCUCACCACCUGUAUGUGCUGAGUUUCCUGUGCCUGCUGAGUCUCCAGUAUUUGCUGUACCAGUGGCAGAUUACCUGAAUUCUGCUGCACCUACCUAUUAUGCAGUGCCAGCCUCACCACCUGUACCUGCUGGGGUUCCUUCUGAAUCUCCUGUACAUUGUUGUUGCACUGUUGUCCCAGUACCUGACCUUUAGCCUGCCCUUGGACUUUUCUCCUGCUUUAACCCUUUGGUACCUUGUUGCUGGAGUGACCUCAGAGUACCCAACUUUUGGCCUGUUCUUGCUUUAUCUCUUGGUAUAUUGUUGCUGGACUGAUCUCCUGGUACAAACAAAUACAAGGGGAAUUGAGGGCCCUAUUUCUGUGGGAACUUACAAUCUAGAAAAUGACUUUUUGUUUCCUUUGUAUUCAUUCCUGUACUCGAGUUCCACUCACUGAGUCAGGUACUGGGAAAUUAGACCAGUGUUUCUUGACUCUGGUCGCCAAGUACCCUUAACAGACCAGAUUUUCAUGAUUUCUUAAAGGGAUUGUCCAGCAUAAAAUUUUUAUUAAUUAUUUUAAUACAACUCAUAAAUUUAUAUUAGAUAAGAUAAUCAUUAUAUUAAUUAGUGAAAAAUAAAUUAAUCAUUUAACCUGCUGUAAAUUUAAUUUCAAAUUAUUCAAAAUAUUUCUCAUAUCGCCCCUCAGGAAAAACGAGUUUAUAUUCUUUUUCAUGCUGCUUUUUUUUGUCCAAUCAGCUGUAAUAUGCUAAUUAGAUUGCAUUAGCCCGUGUGCGCGCAUGUUGUUCAUGAUUAUUAGCUUUUUUUUUUAUUUCAUUUCAGUUGCGCAUUGCAGGAACUUCAGGAAGUGGCAGUCCUGCUCUACACAACCUUCAAAUUUUCAAGUUUUAGAUCUGCUAAGUGAUAAAGAUGAAUGAUACAAUGGAAGAUUUGAAUAUGUGUGUGGAUGAAGAUUCGGAAUCAUUACACAUACUGAGAUCUCAACUUGAUGAAAAAAGACAUGGCCGUCCUUUACCUUUUGAUCCAAAACAAACACAUAUAUGGGAUCCAUUAAUCAAAAAAGAAAAUAGAAACAACUCACUGAAGUCUAAUAAAGAAGAUCACAUUGAAGAUCUUGCAAGAUUAACAAACACUGAUUGGUGUUCAUGUUUCAACUGCAUAAAAAUGAAUACUGUUCCUGAAAGUAUUUGUUGUAGAGAGUUAGAAAAAACUAACAAUUUGAUUGAAAAUAAUAUGGUCUGUAUUUGUGAAGUUGAUUACAUCCAGAAUCGUAUCCUUGAUAGAGCUUAUAUACAGGAUCUUUAUCGUUUUGCUUCUGCAUAUCGUAGAGCUAGAUUGCCCAGUCUUCAAAAUUUGCAGGAAAGGUAAUAUUGUUAUAAUAAUAAUUCU